rnacentral:lncRNA from 1 species
GGAAAAUUGAUUGUACCCCUUUGCCUAGACAAAACAAGUGACCCAAAGUCUCCAAAGAAGAUUACGAGGCACCUCAGUUCCUGCACCUGGACCAGUGAGCGAGAUGCUCAGAUGUGAAACCUGCCGCCUGCCAGAACCUGGCCGAGAAUGUGGACAAAGCUGCUGGACACUGGAAAAUUGAUUGUACCCCUUUGCCUAGACAAAACAAGGUCAGUCUUUUCCAUGUCCCUCUUCCACAGAGAGGAAAAAAACUCUCACAGUAUAGGCCUGGUGAAGAUUGCUGGUCUUUGAGACACCUGCCUCCAGCGGUAAUGGAGAAACUUGGGUAUGGACUGGCUUCUAACUGGCUUCUGUCACUUUUUAGUAGAUUCGGAUAAAGUAUACCCUUCUCAGAUCUCUGAAAUAUUACUGGUUGUCAGCUUGACAGCAUCAGGCAGUCAGAUCCACUAUAGACUAGUAAAUGUGUUAGCUGAUAAAAUAAUGACUAUCUACUGUUCAGGCACAAGCUCAAGGUUUUUAAGUUUAUUUUGGUUGUCAUCUAAGUACAAACUUAAAGGGCUUUUCAUCAGGCCAAAGUCACCUCUGUCCAAUCCAUACCUGGCUCUCUGGACAGAAGAAAAAU